ensembl:lncRNA
GGAACAGUGGUGAUUGGUGAUUGGUUGUUUGGAACAGUGAUGAUUGGUUGUGGUGAUCGGUGAUUGGUUGAUGGGAACAGUGAUGAUCGGUGAUUGGUUGAUGGAACAGUGAUGAUCGGUGAUUGGUUGAUGGAACAGUGGGGAUCGGUGACUGGUUGAUGGGAACAGUGGUGAUUGGUGAUUGGUUUUUGGGAACAGUGGUGAUUGGUGAUUGGUUGUUUGGAACAGUGAUGAUUGGUUGUGGUGAUCGGUGAUUGGUUGAUGGGAACAGUGGUGAUUGGUGAUUGGUUGUUUGGAACAGUGAUGAUUGGUUGUGGUGAUCGGUGAUUGGUUGAUGG